CCCAUUUUAGGAGACCUGGCAUUGGCCUUGGUUCUCAGCUGGGCCUUAAGCCACGUGACCCAGAAUUAGGUCACAUCCUAUGGCCAGAGCUUGUUUCUCAGGCAGAACCUGCCAAGUAGGAAAGCAGCACCCAGAAACACAGCAAACCCAAAGGCAGGCGGUGCCUACUGAGUGUCAGCAGCCGCGGGAUUCAAGGUCUUCAGCCUGGCUGCCGACCUCCACGGAGGUCCUGCCGACGGCUGUGGUGCCAGGAUGAACACAAAUUCUUCCUUGGGCAUAGCUGAGAUGUGCUGGAUAUCCAAAGAGAUCAACCCCUGCAGGAAGACAACAGUGAAAGACACACUCUGGCUGCUGCACGGUAAAGCCGGACCCCCAUGGGGGACAUGGAUGAAUCUGGAAAACAUCAUCCUCAGCAAACUGACACAAGAACAGAAAAUGAAACACCGCAUAUUCUCACUCAUAGGUGGGUGAUGAAAAAUGAGAACACAUGGACACAGAAAGGGGAGUACUAAACACUGGGGUCUAUUGGGGGGAGAAGGGGAGGGCCAGUGGGAGGGGGAGGUGGGCCUGGGGAGAAAAGCCAAAUGUGGGUGAAGGGGAGAAGAAAAGAAAGCACACUGCCAUGUGUGUACCUACGCAACUGUCUUGCAUGCUCUGCUCAUGUACCCCAAAACCUAUAAUCCAAUAAAAAAUUAAAAAAAAAAAAAAAAAAGAAACUGCUAAACUGUUUUUCAAAAUGGCUAGAAUAUGUUGCAUUCUCACCUGCCAUGUAUGA
rnacentral:lncRNA from 1 species